rnacentral:rRNA from 1 species
UACGAAGGGUGCAAGCGUUAAUCGGAAUUACUGGGCGUAAAGCGUGCGUAGGCGGUUUCUUAAGUCUGCUGUGAAAUCCCCGGGCUCAACCUGGGAAUGGCAGUGGAUACUGGGAGGCUAGAGUGUGAUAGAGGAUGGUGGAAUUCCCGGUGUAGCGGUGAAAUGCGUAGAUAUCAGGAGGAACACCGGUGGCGAAGGCGGCUUCCUGGACCGACACUGACGCUGAGGCGCGAAAGCUAGGGGAGCAAACGGG